rnacentral:rRNA from 1 species
GAACACCGGUGGCGAAGGCGGCUUACUGGACUGUAACUGACGCUGAGUCACGAAAGCGUGGGUAGCAAACAGGAUUAGAUACCCUGGUAGUCCACGCCGUAAACGAUGAGUGCUAGGUGUUGGGNNCAAAGCUCAGUGCCGAAGUAAACACAAUAAGCACUCCGCCUGGGGAGUACGUACGCAAGUAUGAAACUCAAAGGAAUUGACGGGGACCCGCACAAGCAGCGGAGCAUGUGGUUUAAUUCGAAGCAACGCGAAGAACCUUACCAAGNCUUGACAUCCCNUGACAGNUNNAGAGAUNNGNNNUUCCCUUCGGGGNCAGGGAGACAGGUGGUGCAUGGUUGUCGUCAGCUCGUGUCGUGAGAUGUUGGGUUAAGUCCCGCAACGAGCGCAACCCUUAUNNUUAGUUGCCANCAUUAAGUUGGGCACUCUAGNGAGACUGCCGGGGAUAACCCGGAGGAAGGUGGGAUGACGUCAAAUCAUCAUGCCCCUUAUGUCUUGGGCUACACACGUGCUACAAUGGUCGGUACAAAGGGNAGCGAANCAGCGAUGUGGAGCAAAUCCCANAAAACNGNUCCCAGUUCGGAUUGCAGGCUGCAACUCGCCUGCAUGAAGUCG